rnacentral:lncRNA from 1 species
GGAGCGGAGCUUGCAGUGAGCUGAGAUCUGGCCACGCCACUCUAGCCUGGGGGCGACAGAGCAAGACUCCGUCUCAAAAAAAAAAAAAGAAAGAAAAGGAGAAGAAACUAUGGAUGGACCCAAAAGAGCGCAUACUGUGAGAUUCCUAUAGAUGAAUGUGCAAAGAGGUGAAAGAGGACAAUGGGGAGAUGUACCCGGAGCGACUGGCAGGGGAGCUGGGCAUCGGGAAUGAGUGGUUUCCCCAUCCAUCAGGCACAGGGAUGGACUUCGAGGGGACCUCCUGGAUAUCAUCUUGAAGUAUACUUCCAGCUGUGGGAUAAUGGGGUCAAGGUUGUGCUGACGGGGCUGGGUGGCUCAUACUUGUCAUCCCAGCACUUUGGGAGGCUGAGGCAGAAGGACUGCUUGAGCUCAGGAGUUCAAGACAAGCCUGGGCAACCUGGUGAGAUCCCGUCUGUACAAAAAAAUUUAAAAAUAAAUUAGCUGGGCCGGGCGCGGUGGCUCACGCCUGUAAUCCCAGCACUUUGGGAGGCCAAAGUGGGUGGAUCACCUGCGCUCAGGAGAUCGAGACCAGCCUGGCCAACAUGGUGAAACCCCAUCUCUACUAAAAAUACAAAAAAUUAGCUGGGCAUGGUGGCAGGUGCCUGUAAUCCCAGCUACUUGGGAGGCUGAGGCAGGAGAAUUGCUUGAACCCAGGAGGCAGAGGUUGCAGUGAGCUGAGAUUGUGGCAUUGCACUCCAGCCGGGGCAAAAAGAGCGAAAUUCUGUCUCAAAUAAUAAUAAUAAUAAUAAUAAUAGCUGGACAUAGUGAUGCAUGACUGUCAUCAUCAUGCAUCAUCUCGUCAGCAACUCCUAAGUGGUCCCAUCUACUUAGGAGGCUGAGGUGGGAGGAUUGCUUCAACCCGGGAGGUGGAGUCUGCAGUGAGCUGUGAUCACACCACUGCACUCCAACCUGGGUGACAGAGGGAGACCCUGUCUCAAGAAUAAUAAUAAUAGUCUGGGCUCGGUGACUCACAUCUGUAAUCCCAGCACUUUGGGAGGCCGAGGCGGAUGAAUUAUUUGAGGUCAAGAGAGAGAGACCAUCCUGGCCAACAUGGUGAGACGGGGUCUCUACUAAAAGUACAAAAAUUAGCUGGGCAUGGUGGUGCAC